rnacentral:rRNA from 1 species
GACGAACGCUGGCGGCGUGCUUAACACAUGCAAGUCGAACGGAAAGGCCCUGCUUUUGUGGGUUGCUCGAGUGGCGAACGGGUGAGUAACACGUGAGUAACCUGCCCUUGACUUUGGGAUAACUUCAGGAAACUGGGGCUAAUACCGGAUAGGAUCUCCUGCUGCAUGUUGGGGGUUGGAAAGUUUCGGCGGUUGGGGAUGGACUCGCGGCUUAUCAGCUUGUUGGUGGGGUAGUGGCUUACCAAGGCUUUGACGGGUAGCCGGCCUGAGAGGGUGACCGGCCACAUUGGGACUGAGAUACGGCCCAGACUCCUACGGGAGGCAGAAGUGGGGAAUAUUGCAGAAUGGGCGGAAGCCUGAUGCAGAAACGCCGCGUGCGGGAUGACGGCCUUCGGGUUGUAAACCGCUUUCGACUGUGACGAAGCGUGAGUGACGGUAAUGGGUAAAGAAGCACCGGCUAACUACGUG